CGGGACUAUGCGGUGGCGCGUGGCGAGACAACGCGAGAGAGAGAUGUAUGUACAUCUCCCACCGCUAAUGAGGGGUUAAUGGCGCAGUGGUGUCAUCGCCGCCGUCUGCGACGCGAUUUUGUGAUCUUUUCGGAGAAUAUCAGUCCUGGGCGAUAUAAGCAAUCGGAAGGAAGUCUCUACAUGAUAUGAAGAAUGAGUAGUUAAGCCAUUCAGUACACAUAUAUAAACGUAAUUUGUAAAUAAAUACAAUAACGCUUACUAGUAUAGUACUGGAAGAGAUGUGCUUAUUGUUGACGUUCGGUUAGACUGUGUAAAUAGGACAUGUUUUGUUAAAGAAGUUGAGAAACUAAAGCGUUUGAGUUCUGCAAAAUGUA